rnacentral:lncRNA from 1 species
GUCUUAUCUUGCCCUUUGCUCCCUGGCAAAGGAGAGGAGGGAAGAACUUUCACAGGCAGCCCUACUGCCAGAACUCCCCCAGGGCAAGCGGAAAGAUGGUUUCUCUUCCCGAGCUUUGCAAGUUGAUGAGACAAUGAGCCAGGGAGGGACUGGAUUUAACUUGUUUGAGGAUAAAGCUGUUGGAGAUUUUCAAAUUGGAGUCUGAUAUCCUGUAUGUAUAAAAAAGCCACUGGCUUAUAUCUACUCAGAGCAUAAAUUCCCAAGGCAGUAGUCUCUCUCUCUCUCUCUCUCUCUCUCUCUCUCUCUCUCUCUCUCUCUCUCUCUCCUUUAAAGCAAAAGUAACUAAGUAUUUAAAGGACUUUAAAAGUGGCCUGGAAAUUCAUAAACUCGCAUUCAAAAAUAAAACUCAUUCCAUUCUAAAAUUAGAAGGGGGGGGGGAAGUCCCUGGAAUCCAAAAUAAUUUGUUCAAACAAGUAUUCAUAUUGGAUGGAGACUCUGUUUCCAAUGUGUUUUAUUGAUCCUUGAUGACCUCUGAGAAGAAGUGGCUCAUUCAAUUUCCCCUCAGUAUAGGUAACAAACCAGGGCCCAGAGAGAGGGGACAGUCCUCCCAGAACAUGUCACACACCGCAGGACAGGGGUCAGGGCCCUGAAGCCUCUUCCUCCCUUGGAAUGCAAACUGUGAUUCUGGGAAUGUAAAUUGCGUGGAUGAUAAUUUCAUGCUUUGGCUGUGGGAAGAAGCAUUCGGGAAAUGUGCCUCAGGCAUAUUGAGUUUGUUGAAAAAUGAAGAAUGUCACAUGUAUAGUUUGGCCACCUACUUGGCAAUGGUAACUUCAUAUAGCAUUGUUAUUUUUCUAUGGGACCAGAAUGCUAAAUUUGAUAGUCAAUAGUUCUUGGAGAAGUUUCAGGAAGAAACAUCUAUAUUCUAUACUGAGCCACUGUCUGAAGGGAACAAAAACAGAAUAUUCUUCUAGAAGGCAUAGAAUUUUGGCAAGGACAAUUCUGUUGAAAAUCUGUUAAGAGUUCCUCAGGCAUGAGAGUUAAAUAGCACACUAGUGUCCAGAGCAAAUUGUACAUGACACUGUGUCUGGUCCCCCCUCUGCCCUGCUGGGUCCCCGUUGAGAGCCCUAUGGAUGCAUCUGGGCAGGGGGUUGGCAAGAGCCAAUGCACUGACUUGGUGGGAACAAGCUCUUCUUUGUGUUUCCUUCACUAAGCCACCAGUCUUGGUAUUCAGUACAUUUGUGUAUCUUUUUCCUUUGGAAGUAGAAUACAAUUUAUUUAUCAGCUCCUCCUUCCAUUUCCAAUCUGAUUGCCAAAAAGCUCAACUAAUCAAGUCUUAUUUGAGUUUGUACUUCCCUGAUUCUGGGUACUGUGAAUGUUUAUUAUCCACCUGUGUUUCAUUUCCUGUGAAUUGUCUACUUAUUUUGUAUAAUUGUCCCAUCCAUUGUUUGCUGCGCAGUUCUCCUGGUUUUGUUGGAAUGUUUCAGACAUGGGGGAUACUGUGUUUCAUUAUUUGCAAAAUGUCCUCUCCCUCUUAUUCCUUGUCUUCUCCAAAUGUUUCAGAGUAGCUACUCUUGUGCUCUUUCUUUUGCAUGAAAAUUGAGUGUCAGUUUGUUCACUCUAACUGAAGACAUCUUACUUGGGUUUUGAUUGUGAUAAAUUAAUUGUGUUAUUGGGAAAUAACUGAAAUCUUUGUAAGAUUGAGAUAUUUCAAAAGACAGUAAGUCUUCCCAUUUAUUCAUAUUUUAUAUAUUAUAUUUAUCAAAUAUAUAUUAAGAGAAUAAAUAUAUGAUAUCCUCUCUUUGUCCACCAAGGGAGAAAAUUGUGUCAAUAUAUUUUCUGAUAUUGAGCCAUCCUUAUAUUCUAGGAAAAUACCCUAAUUAUUUAUGAAGUUUUAUUUCUUUAAUAUACAAGUAGAAUCGGCCAGUUAAAAUUUUAUUGGGGAUUUUCCUAAGUAGGAUUGUUUUAGUCAGCUUUUUCACCUCUGUGACAAACAGAUCUGACAAGAGCAAUUAGAGGAGGAAAAGUUCAUUUGGGGGCUCACAGUUUCAGAGGUCUCAGUCCAUAGGUAGCUGACUCCAUUCCUUGGGAUUCGAGGUGAGGAAGAACAUCGUGGCUGAAGAAUGUGGUGAUGAAAGCAGCUCAAGAUAUUAAAGCAGAGAGAGACUAAGUUUAGCUCAAAAAUAUAGAUCCCAAGGGCACGCGCCCAGCCCCACCCUACAGGCUCUCAUAACCCAGUCAUUUCACCUCUGAACCUCUUACAUUUUCUCACACAUGAGCUUUUGGGGGACACCUCACAUCUAAAUCAUAGCAAGGUUCACAAAUACAACAAGCCUGAUGUUUUUGUACUGUGAUCCAGUUUGGAUUAAGAUUAUACCAGUAUGUCUUAUUCUCCAUGAACUGGAAAACAUGCAUAAAAUGUAAGAUGGGUCUUACUUAUUCUUUGCAAGUUUGGUAAGCCACACAUGAGGUGCUUUGAGUGGGGGGGUAAGUACUAGGGAUUGAACCAAGGGACAUUCAACCACUGAGCCACAUCCCCAGACUUUUUUUUUUUUUGUAUUUUAUUUAGAGACAAGGUCUCACUGAGUUGCUUAGUGCCUCGCCUUUGCUGAAGCUGGCUUUGAACUCAUGAUUCCUGCCUCAGACUCCUGAGCUGCUGGGAUUAUAGGCAUGCACCAUGGCACCUGGCACUUGAAGUGAUUUGAGGGGAGAAUUCUCACAAUAAGGUGGAUAUUCUCGUGGGCUUACAGGCUACUUUCUGUUAUUAGUCUACCUUCCGCUUCUCUGUGUUCUGUUAUUAGUCUACCCUCCGCUUCUCUGUGUUCUGUUAUUAGUCUACCCUCCACUUCUCUGUGUUCUGUUAUUAGUCUACCCUCCACUUCUCUGUGUUCUGGUUUGGAUUAAAAGUCCUCCAAAGGCCCAUGGGUUGAAGACUUGGUCCCCACACAGCCAGGAUGGUACUGGGAGGUGGUGAAAGCUAUAAGAGGUGGGGCCAGUGGGAGGAAAUUAGGUCAUCGGGGGUGUGGCCUUCAUUAGGGGUGUGGCCUUCAUUAGGGGUGUGGCCUUCAUUGGGGUGUGGCCUUCAUUAGGGGUGUGGCCUUCAUUAGGGGUGUGGCCUUCAUUGGGGUGUGGCCUUCGUUGGGGGUGUGGCCUUCAUUAGGGGUGUGGCCUUCGUUGGGGUGUGGCCUUCAUUAGGGGUGUGGCCUUCAUUGGGGGUGUGGCCUUCAUUGGGGGUGUGGCCUUCAUUGGGGGUGUGGCCUUUAUUAGGGGUGUGGCCUUCAAGGAGGUAUUGGACCACAGCUCCUUUCUGUCUCUCUCUUUGCUAUCACCAGAUGAGUGGCUUUGCACCACCACAUGCUCCCCACCAAGAUGCUCUGCCUCAUGGCCACAGGUCCAAAGGCAAUGCAGCCAGCCAAACACAAAUCUCUGAAACCAUGAGUCAAAAUAAAUCUUUCCUCCUUCUAAUGGAUUGAUCUCGGGUAUUUGUUACCAAGACAGAAGGUAAAUGCUUACCAGCUUCCAGUUGUGUUUGUUCCUGAAUCUAUUUAUGACAGGUUCACCUGUCAUAAUCAUUUAACUUAAUGCUGUAUCAUGUAAACCAUGGAAUAAGUGGAGGAGAGUUUUUAUUUCUGUGAAGACUAAGUUGAAAGCUUUAGUAGGAAUAGAUAGGGCUGAACCACCAAGAUCAAUGACUUAGAAUUAAAUGGGCUGAUAGUGGGUGGUGCCAGGAAUCAUAAACAUCUAUGUGCUGCUACUCAAAGCGUGGUCCAUGGACCAGGAGCCCCAGCAUCACCUGGAAGUCUGAUGGAAAUGCCAAAUGUCAGAGUCCCCUCCACAUCUACGGAUCAGAGUCUGCCCUGUGACAAGAUCCCCAAGAGAUUUACACACACUUUAAAAUUAAAGAAGCUCUGGUUCAAGAGGGUCCCACAAUCAGAUUACAGUAAAUGUCUUAGUAUUCUCCCUCUGUGGAAAUUGUUGACAGUGAAUUAUAGGUAUGCCUAUAUAAGAAAGAUGAUCCAAUUGACAAACCUGUUUUCAAAUAAAAAAUUCUGACACUACAUUAAAAGACUGGUGAGUGGAUGUAUGUUUUGUCUUUUUUUUAUAGAGAGAGAGAGAAUUUUUUUAUAUCUAUUUUUUAGUUUUCGGUGGACACAACAUCUUUAUUUUAUUUUUAUAUGGUGCUGAGGAUCCAAUUCAGCACCCCCAGCCCCUGUUUUUGUGUUUUCAAUGAAAGUAAAAUGUAAUAACAUUGUAUUAUAAUUUCUCCCCUUAAUGAACUUUUUUUCAUUUUUCAUUAUUGGAUGCAGGUCUGGACUGUGUUACGUGAGAGAGAUUCUUCUCUCCUUCCUAUUUCCUUGGAUUAGCACCAUUUUUCAUCUGAAGUUUUAAAAGUACUAGCAUAGAGUUAUGUUCAAUUCUAAUCUUUUUUAAUAAUGCAGAUAUGGACAGUUUUUAAUUUCUGAUGCUUUCAUUUGUGUCUUAUUGCUGUUUUGUAUUUUGGGUGUUGUUUUAUACUUGUUCAGAGUAGUCACAGAUUUGUUUAAAUUAUGUUUUUUUCUCAAAGUACUAUCUUUUGUUGUUUUUGUUUCUGUUUCACUGAUUUUUACUUUUACUUUAUCAUUUCCUUACUUCCACUAUCUUUGGGUUUCUUUUCUUCUUAUUUUUUCUGCCUCUCUUAUUUUCUAACACCAGGAUUGAAGGCUACAAGGGUUCCUCUAAUGAUUGCUUUGUCCACAUCCUCCACCAUGUGGGACUCACACGGGCAUUUAUUUCCAGAUCCACAAUGCAUAGAGUUAGUUUUAGAUUUCUUUUGAUUUCAAAGGAUCUGCCUGUUGCUAUAACAGUUUAUAUAAGACUGGGCAAUUUAUAAAGAAAAGAGGUUUAUUUUAGCUCCCAGUUCUAGAGACUGGGAAGUCCAAGAAUGUGGUGCCAGUAAGGGCUUUAUGCUGCUAUAACUCAUGGUGGAAAGUGGAAGGGCAAGUGGGCAUGCGUGAAACAGAGAGGCCAUGAGGGGCAGCCUCCCUCUAUAGCAACCUGCUCUCCUGGUAGCUAAUCCAGCCCCACAAGAGCUCACACACUCAAGAAAGGCAUUCACCUGCUCAUGAGGACUCUUCCCAUAACCCAGGCAUCUCUCAGGAGACCCCAGGACCUUGCAACACACUUAUACAGGGGACCGAAUUUCUUUUUUUCCUUCCUAUUUUUGUAUUAUACAUACUGUGAAAUGUGCACACGCUAUAGCAAUAUGAUCUGGCCACUAUCGUUCCCUAGUACCUACCCCUCCUCCCUUUCUUUCUCCCCACAGGGCCCUUUCCUCUACUAAGGAACCAAAUUGCAACAAGAGUUUUGUCAGAGGCAAACAGCAUUUGAAACCAUAGAAUGUGUAUUUUUAAAUCUUGAAAUGAACAAUUUUCUAGCUUCUCAAUAUCAUCCUUUUUUCCUCCUUUUUUGCAGUGUCUUCGGAAUGUGACUAAUAUGAUUUUUGAAUUUUGAAGUUCACCAAGAUGUCCUACUUUAGCAACAAUUUUAGUAAAUGUUCUAUUGGUGUUUGAAAAGCAGAUACGGUUUCCUUUGGCAUAAAAUAAAUGAGUCUGCAUAUAUGUAUUUACACAUAUGUAUAUAUCAAGCUUGUUGAUCAUGCUAUUCCAGUUUUAUCAUGCUUUGGUGUCUCACGGCAGAUACCGUUAACUUCGAUCCCAACAGUCAUUCUACACCACUGCUCUUUGAGCACAUGCCCUAAUUAUUUUAGGGUGGGUAGCAACAUCCCUAAUCUAGGAGAUAAGUCAAGAUUAAAUCUAGUCCAGCAUUUACCAACAGAAACAAAGCUGUCUUUUCCCCCUUCUGCUUGUGAUGCUACAAUAUAGAAGAUCUAGAGCUAUGGCAACCACCUUGUGACCUCGAGGCAUCUUUACUCAUUUUGAAAGUUCAUUCACUCACCCCUCUUUGGUGCAUUCUUUUGUUUUUGUUUUUGUUUUAAGAAUCCAUCCUAGAUGAUCCAGGAGUGAUACAGUGCCUGAGUCCUUGCCAAUACCUACUGCUUCCCCACUCCUACUCUCCAUUCCACUGACCUUGGACCUGACCUUCCCAACCCUCCUGCCUUCCGGGCAUCUUCUGCAUUUAUUUUGUUCCAGAUUGUUUCUGGUGGGAUCUGAUCUCCGUCUGCCUCCUGUCUUUCAGAAAUCAUUCCAAAGCUCUGAUGUCAAUCACUGAAUUUUUCAUUUCUCUGCAACAUUAAGGAUUUAUUCUUUUUCAUUUUUUUUCUCUUUUUUCUUUUUUGUUGUGUGGGAAAUAAGACUGAAAUAAUGGUAGAUUUAUGAACUCAAUCACUCAUCAUAAUUCAAUUUUAAAAAAUGUUAACAGUAAAAUCAGUAAUUCAUUCUUUAGACAUGUAUGGGGCAAUAAUGGUCUCCAAAUGAUCCCGUUCAGGUUCAGGAAUAUACUGAUUGCAUUUCUGCCCUUGCCCCCUCCCUCCCUUGGCUGUUUACAUUCCUUAACAUGUUAGACCUUUUGCUGAACUAUUUAAAAUAUGCAUGAUCUUCUAAGAAGGUCCCCAGCCAAAAACAGAGGAAAAAGUAGAAAUAUGCGCUGCACCAGAGGCUCCAGCCAGUGGGGCAUCCAAUUGCUGCUCAACCUGGGUUUGCAUGAUUGCCCAGGGGGUGCCUUACUCCCCAGCAACCUUGUCCCAAUUCCUAGACAACAUUUUAUACAAAUAAAAAUUUGGUCUCACAGGUACAUACCAGGCAGGUUUGUUUAAAGUAGAGGAUGUACCAAAACUAAAUGACAGAGCCACAGGAGUCUGUACCCCCGGCUCAGGCCCAUGAGGUCAGCUUCUGGGCUCCUGAACAAAAUCCCCCCCCAGAUCCUACAGGAUCAGGGCUCCGCAGCAGCCCAGCUAAAUGAUUCAGGAGCUCAGAGCCAGGGUCCACCCUCCCAUGUGACCCAGUGCAAGCCCUUGAGCUUCUACAGAUGCCAUGUCCUUGACCAUGAGAUGGUGAACUAGCACCGUCAGCUUCCUAGUGCUGUUUUGAUGACUGAAUGACAUGCACAGGGAUGGCACUCUUCAGGCUGUGAUCUUUGUUCUCAUUGUGACCCUGGAGGACCUGUCUCUGCCACCAGCCUCACAUUCUGAAAUGAAGCCUAGAAGAGUUCUGCCUCUUCUCAGGCCCAGAGCUAGGAAGUUAUGGAGUUUCCUAAUCAUGGCCUGAACCUCUGAACUCACGGUUUUCCUCCUCUAAGUGGCUCUUGUCAGGUGGUCGCAGCUUACACGGGUGUGUUUCUGCUGUACCAUCUGUUUGUGCAUACAGGUGGUCCCCCACUUACAAUUGCUCUACUCAACCAUUUUUUGAUGAAGGUGUACCCACAAGACCAUCCUGUUUUUCACUUUCAGGACAGUCAUUUGAGAAAUCAUAUGAGAUCCUCCACACUCUGCUCUAGAAUGGGCUUUGUGGUAGAUUGUCUUGAUCAACUGUAGGCUAAGAAUCCUUAGCAAGUUCAAGGUAGGCAAGGCUGAGCCGUGAUGUUCCGGAGGUUCAUUGUAGUGAAUGCACUUUUGACUUUGGAUAUUUUCGAUACACUAUGGAUUUAUUGGGAUGUGGCCCCAUGAUAAGUGGAACAAUAUUUCUGUAUCUAUAUAUACGGAGGCAAGUAUGGACGCAGGUAUUUCUAUGUGUGUAUGUGUGUUCAUGUUUUGUAUGAAGACGUACCUGUGCAUAUGUGUGUGUGAAUAUGUGUAUAUCUGUAGGUAAGUAAUGUGUGUAAGGGUGUAUGAUGUGCACUUGGUCCUGUAUGUAUUUAUAUCUGUCUUGGGGUCACAGUCAUCAGGGAAGACAUCAGGGCAGAAAGAUGAGUGUCUUAUUCCUCCAGUCUGUACUAACUCUCACAAAUUUGUCAGUUAACAACAACAACAAAAAAAUCAGCAGAAAUCAUUGUCAAAUACAGCUAUGCUGAGACUCAUCCCACAAUGUCCAAGGGGAUGUUCCAACUGGCUUCAGAGGGUUUGCAUUAGCAUAAAUAUUACAUUAACAGGACUGCUUAGCAUGUGCUUAUCUCUCAAGAGACUCCAACACAAUCCUUGAAACACACAGGCUUGACAAAUGUGGAUCACAUUUAAAUAAAAUAUCAAGACAACUCAGUUCAGUGACUGACAGCCAGAGGGGGAGGGAGGCACAGACUAUAAUUUAUUCUUAAAGAAUUUAUUACUAAAAUAUUUAUGGACCAGUUUCCUAAAUUGCUUUAUAAUCUAUAUGGGAAAUUAUCCUUUAAACAUAUUCCAUAAAAUGAAUGUCCUUUUAAAGCCAUAAUCAAUUUUCUUUCCAUCUCUUUCAUCAAUUCUCCAAGUUGGCAUGAGUUAUAGACUCUUCCCUAAGCUCUUCUUUCCUCCCAAAUUACUAUAAAAUUCAAUUAUGACCUAAUAUUUGGUACUUCGUGUAAUUGGAGAAGCUGCCUAGAGAAAGCUAAGCAGAAAUGUAUUUAUUUAUCAUUAUAUUUAUUAACAAUUUGGUGGCAAAGGCUUGCUAAGCCAAGGAGGCAUAUUUUAACUGUAAGUGUGUCCAAGAUCCUCAUACACAAUAGGCAGGUUUCGUGGAAUGUCAUUGUCUUGUCAGUAUUUUCACAGACCUGUUCACUUGGUGUGCAGAUAUGUAGCAAAGGUGGUUUCCAAUCCAUCACGGUAUCCAUUCUUGUUCACCUGAACAAAAACAGAAUCCAAUUGAGCCCCAUCAGGUAGGAUGCACAAGAGGCAUUGAAAGGGCUUGGGAUAUCUUUCAGAAGCCAGCUGCCUACUCCCCUCUCCCCAGUGAAGUCCAUACAUGGACGAGGUGAUCUGCACCCACAUUGCCAUAGAAAACCAAUUUCAUGUGUGUUGGCCAGCAAAAACAACAGUUUCCCCUCACCUCUGCCUUCCAGAUGCUGCCAGGGAGCCUCUGAACCUCAGGCACAUCGGUCACCAGGAUGAUGCUGGUGUCAGCCUCCCAACCUCAGGAGGAGGCAAGAUACGUCAGAUGCUGCCCAUUCUACCCACCUUGAUCUCAUAGUAGGUGCCACAGCCAAAGCUUCCUGUGUUAGCAGGAAGUGCCCACCGGGAGACCACACUCUCACAAGGACACUAGCGUCACCCCUAGGAGGCAAUGCUAAUUCUAGGCAAUCUAGGACCUUGGGUGUCCAAAGUGGUAGUCCCCAGCCACAGAUGGCUACUGCAUAGCUGAACUGGCUGAUUCUGGAUUGAGACAUAUUCUAGAUAUAAAAUGCACACCAGACCCCAAAGCUUGGGUACAAAAGCACCUCAGUUGUUACACUGAUUACACAUUGGAAUUAUAAUAUGUGGGGUUUACAGGAUUAAAUAAAGUACAUUAUUACAAUCAACUUUAUAUCAGCAGAACUGAUAGAUAAAAUGUAGUAUGGAUGUAACACUGAAAUAUUAUUUGUCUUUAAAAAGGAAAGAAAUUCUGACAUAUAUUACAAUAUGACUGACCCUUGAUGAUAUUGUGCUAAAUGGAAUAAGUCAAUACUCAAAAAAAAAAAUACUGAAUGAUUCUAUUUAUGUGAGAUCCCCAGAGUCCCCAACCCUAAUCCUCGACCUGAUUUAGAAGAGGUGUGUGUGUGUGUGCGUGAACAAAUUAGAAUUAACAAUACACAUGUCAAAUGGCAGGUGUCUUCCCACUGCGUGCCAGCUAAACAAAAUGUUGCUUUUGAUGCAUAAUCUUUUUAAACUAAAAUUGUACUUAUUUUUGCUAAAUAAGUAGAUUUUACUGCUCAUGUCCCGAAAGUAAUUAUGUGAGAUUAUGUGAUAAUCGGCUUCACUACAGUAAUGAUUUUACUUUUUAUAUGUAUCCCAUAGCAUCAUUUGCUAAGCCACAAAUGUACACAAUAAAACAUUUUUACAAUGUUGGGUUGAACAUAUAUUAGAUUUCUGUAUACAUUUGGACCUAUCUCAAGUCAACUGAUCUGUUUCAUUUUUUUCCUGCCAAUUCUAUUCUGUCGGGUUACAGUAGUAUCAUAUUGUUUCUGUCAUAUUUUAUAUUAUUUUUUUAUAUUAUAUUAUCUUACAUUAUAUUGUUUUACCUUGUUAUAUUGUUUUACUUUAGAUAGAGCAAGAUACCCAAAUCUAUAUUCCUUGUCUAAAAUUUUCUUAGCG